rnacentral:tRNA from 3 species
AGGAGUGUAGCUCAAUCGGCUAGAGCACCGGUCUCCAAAACCGGGGGCUGGGGGUUCGAGUCCCUCCACUCCUGCCA